rnacentral:rRNA from 1 species
GGUGAGUAACACGUAUCCAACCUGCCGAUGACUCGGGGAUAGCCUUUCGAAAGAAAGAUUAAUACCCGAUGGCAUAGUUCUUCCGCAUGGUGGAACUAUUAAAGAAUUUCGGUUAUCGAUGGGGAUGCGUUCCAUUAGUUUGUUGGCGGGGUAACGGCCCACCAAGACUACGAUGGAUAGGGGUUCUGAGAGGAAGGUCCCCCACAUUGGAACUGAGACACGGUCCAAACUCCUACGGGAGGCAGCAGUGAGGAAUAUUGGUCAAUGGGCGCAGGCCUGAACCAGCCAAGUAGCGUGAAGGAUGAAGGCUCUAUGGGUCGUAAACUUCUUUUAUAUGGGAAUAAAGUUUUCCACGUGUGGAAUUUUGUAUGUACCAUAUGAAUAAGGAUCGGCUAACUCCGUGCCAGCAGCCGCGGUAAUACGGAGGAUCCGAGCGUUAUCCGGAUUUAUUGGGUUUAAAGGGAGCGUAGGUGGAUUGUUAAGUCAGUUGUGAAAGUUUGCGGCUCAACCGUAAAAUUGCAGUUGAAACUGGGAGUCUUGAGUACAGUAGAGGUGGGCGGAAUUCGUGGUGUAGCGGUGAAAUGCUUAGAUAUCACGAAGAACUCCGAUUGCGAAGGCAGCUCACUAGACUGUUACUGACACUGAUGCUCGAAAGUGUGGGUAUCA